GAGGAAGUAAAAGUCGUAACAAGGUUUCCGUAGGUGAACCUGCGGAAGGAUCAUUACAGAGUUCUUGCCCUUCGGGGUAGAUCUCCCACCCUUGUGUAUCAUUAAUAAAUGUUGCUUUGGCGGGCCGUGAGCCUAGCUUGCCCGGAUUCGCGUCCGGCGUGGCCCGCCAGAGAACCCCUAAACUCUGAAUGUUAUUGUCGUCUGAGUACUAUUAAAUAGUUAAAACUUUCAACAACGGAUCUCUUGGUUCUGGCAUCGAUGAAGAACGCAGCGAAAUGCGAUAAGUAAUGUGAAUUGCAGAAUUCAGUGAAUCAUCGAAUCUUUGAACGCACAUUGCGCCCCUUGGUAUUCCGGGGGGCAUGCCUGUUCGAGCGUCAUUAAUACCAAUCUAGCCUGGCUAGGUGUUGGACUUCGCGUCUGGGCGGGUCUUAAAAUCAGUGGCGGUGCUCUUCAGCUCUACGCGUAGUAAUACUCCUCGCUAUAGGGCCUGUGGAGACACUUGCCAGCAACCCCAUAUUUUUCUAGGUUGACCUCGGAUCAGGUAGGGAUACCCGCUGAACUUAAGCAUAUCAU
rnacentral:rRNA from 1 species